rnacentral:rRNA from 1 species
UGUAGGUUGCAUUAGACAGAGAUGAGUAUUUCUUCGGACUACUUACAAGGUGCUGCAUGGUUGUCGUCAGCUCGUGCCGUGAGGUGUCAGGUUAAGUCCUAUAACGAGCGCAACCCCUGUCGUUAGUUGCCAGCAUGUAAAGAUGGGGACUCUAACGAGACUGCCGGUGCAAACCGGGAGGAAGGUGGGGAUGACGUCAAAUCAUCACGGCCCUUAUGUCUUGGGCUACACACGUGCUACAAUGGUAUGGACAGAGAGCAGCCACUGGGUGACCGGGAGCGAAUCUACAAACCCUGUCCCAGUUCGGAUCGGAGUCUGCAACUUGAAUCCCUGAAGGUGGAAUCGCUAGUAAU